UAUGAAAAACAUGUCUAAGUUUAGCUCCAACCCUAAUUAAGCAGACCUGAGCAGCUGAUCAAGGAUUACCAGAAACUCUGCAGAACGGUGGUCCUCCAGCCCAGGACUGGACACCAGUGUUAUGCUGGUAUAAAAACAGCGAGGCUAAAGCAUUCAAAGUGGAAACAUCUGCCGUGGCUCAUUAAUCCAGAAUUGGGAUGGAGAAUGGAGCAGAAGAACCAGAAGAUAAGAGAUCAGUCAGAAAUUUACUGGUGCCCCUG